UGGGAACUGCCUUUAGGUUCGGAAUAACUCAGAGAAAUUUGAGCUAAUACCGGAUAAUGUCUUCGGACCAAAGAUUUAUCGCCUUUAGAUGGGCCCGCGUUAGAUUAGAUAGUUGGUGGGGUAACGGCCUACCAAGUCGACGAUCUAUAGCUGGUCUGAGAGGAUGAUCAGCCACACUGGGACUGAGACACGGCCCAGACUCCUACGGGAGGCAGCAGUGGGGAAUAUUGGACAAUGGGCGAAAGUGAUCCAGCAAUGCCGCGUGAGUGAUGAAGGCCUUAGGGUUGUAAAGCUCUUUUACCAGGGAUGAUAAUGACAGUACCUGGAGAAUAAGCUCCGGCUAACUCCGUGCCAGCAGCCGCGGUAAUACGGAGGGAGCUAGCGUUGUUCGGAAUUACUGGGCGUAAAGCGCGCGUAGCGGCUUAUCAAGUCAGGGGUGAAAUCCCGGGGCUCAACCCCGAACUGCCCUUGAAACUGGUUGGCUAGAAUACUGGAGAGGUGAGUGGAAUUCCGAGUGUAGAGGUGAAAUUCGUAGAUAUUCGGAAGAACACCAGUGGCGAAGCGACUCACUGGACAGUUAUUGACGCUGAGGUGCGAAACGGUGGGGAGCAAACAGGAUUAGAUACCCCUGGUAGUCCACGCCCGUAAACGAUGAUAACUAGCU
rnacentral:rRNA from 1 species